UGGGGAAUAUUGGGCAAUGGGCGCAAGCCUGACCCAGCAAUGCCGCGUGUGUGAAGAAGGCCUGCGGGUUGUAAAGCACUUUGAGCGGGGAGGAAGGCCCCGGGGCUAACACCCCUGGGGUUUGACGUUACCCGCAGAACAAGCACCGGCUAACUCCGUGCCAGCAGCCGCGGUAAUACGGAGGGUGCGAGCGUUAAUCGGAAUUACUGGGCGUAAAGCGUGCGUAGGCGGCGCGGUCAGCCUCGCGUGAAAUCCCCGGGCUCAACCUGGGAACUGCGCGGGGAACUGCCGGGCUGGAGUGCGGGAGAGGGCGGUGGAAUUUCCGGUGUAGCAGUGAAAUGCGUAGAGAUCGGAAGGAACACCAGUGGCGAAGGCGGCCGCCUGGACCGACACUGACGCUGAGGCACGAAAGCGUGGGGAGCAAACAGG
rnacentral:rRNA from 1 species